rnacentral:rRNA from 1 species
AUGAUGAACCCGGAGAUGAUGCGGCUGGCGGAGGAGCAGGUGCGGCGCAUGUCCCCGGACGACCUGGCCAGGAUGCAGCGGCAGCUCGCGUCCAACCCCGACCUGGUGAAGCUGGCAUCCGAGAGCAUGAUAAACAUGACGCCUCACGACUUCAAAAUAGCAUCUCAGCAGCUGAACCAAACCAGCCCAGAGGAGAUGCUUUCCAUGGCCGAAAAGCUCGCCACCGCUAAGCCCGAGGAGUUCGCCGCCAUGAAGGCCCAAGCUGACGCUCACAUCUCACACGCCAUAUCCGGUGCCAAGGCCCUGAAGCAGCAGGGGAACGAGCUUCACGGCCAUGGGCGGUACGCCGAGGCUGCUGCCAAGUACGACCUCGCCAAGGAUAGCUUGAAGAACGUGCCGUCGGCAGCCGCGCACACGUUGAGAGUGCAGUGCAGCCUUAAUCUCAUGUCUUGUUACCUGAAAUCGGGCAGGUUCGAGGAGUGCCUAAACGAAGGGUCAGAGGUUCUUCUAGGUUGUGAUGAUUCGAGCAAUGUCGUCGUCAAGGCGUGCUACCGGAGGGGUCAGGCGUACAGAGGACUGGGGAACCUUCAGGCUGCCGUCGCUGACUUGAGUAAAGCCCAUGAAAUCUCUCCCGAUGAUGAAACCAUUGCUGAGGUACUGAGAGAAACACAGGGAAAACUUGCAGCUGAACGAAACAUACCAAAAGGAUUUGUUAUUGAAGAGGUUGUAGAAGAACUUCCAAAAGGAGUUGUUAUUGAAGAGAUUGUAGAAGAACUUCCAACCUUCCAGCCUCCGUCUUUGCAAAAUGUUGCGGAGAACCACGAUGAAAUUGUAGUAAACAACCAGUCGCCAUCCAGUUCUAUAGCUGAUAUGCAAGAAGCCGUGAGAAAAUCCAUGGAAGACCCAGCUAUGCGGCAGAUGUUUGUGUCCAUGAUGGAGAACAUGAGUCCUGAUGUGAUGGCAGACUUGAGUCAGAAGUUCGGCAUGAAGCUCUCCAAGGAGGAUGCGGCCAAAGCGCAACAAGCUAUGUCUUCAUUAUCUCCAGAAGGUCUGGACAGAAUGAUGAGAUGGAUGGGCAGAGCACAACGAGGAGUAGAAGUAGCAACCAAGACAAAGAACUGGCUCCUAGCCAGAAAGGGCUUGGUCAUUGCCAUUGUCAUGCUUAUUUUGGCCUUGAUCCUCCUGCGGCUUGGAUUCAGUGUCAAAUCCAUGUUAUGGUGUGUAGUCAAUUAA